GACGUAGGAUGCGAGCGUUGUCCGGAUUUAUUGGGCGUAAAGAGUUCGUAGGUGGUUUGUUAAGUCUGAUGUUAAAGACCGAGGCUCAACCUCGGAAAUGCAUUGGAUACUGGCAGACUGGAGUGUAGUAGAGGCAAGCGGAAUUCCCAGUGUAGCGGUGAAAUGCGUAGAUAUUGGGAAGAACACCAGUGGCGUAAGCGGCUUGCUGGGCUAUAACUGACACUGAGGAACGAAAGCCAGGGGAGCGAAUGGG
rnacentral:rRNA from 1 species